AUAGAUUUUGCUGCUGAAUUUAUUUGUUUUGGUGAAGUUUUUAUGCUAGUAAGCCCAUGGUUGAUUUUGUUUUCUCGUUUUCCUCUUGGAUGCAUUUCUUAGGUCGAAUACUUGAGAGGUUUAGUUUGGCUGCUUGCAUAUAUUCCUUGAAGUCAGAAACUGAUUUCUAGACUACUGUUUGCAUUUGCAGAUACACUAUGAUAGAUUUGGGA
rnacentral:misc_RNA from 1 species